UACGUAGGGUGCAAGCGUUGUCCGGAAUUAUUGGGCGUAAAGAGCUCGUAGGCGGCCUGUUGCGUCUGCUGUGAAAGCCCGGGGCUCAACCCCGGGUCUGCAGUGGAUACGGGCAGGCUAGAGUCCGGCAGGGGAGACUGGAAUUCCCGGUGUAGAGGUGAAAUUCGUAGAUAUCGGGAGGAACACCGGUGGCGAAGGCGGCGACCUGGGUAGAUACUGACGCUGAGGUGCGAAAGCGUGGGGAGCAAACAGG
rnacentral:rRNA from 1 species